GGGGUAGGGAAGAGAGGGGCUCACU
rnacentral:piRNA from 1 species